AUGCUAAAGGAACAAAAAGAAGACGAGGGGCAAUACAGCGAUGCAACUUUGAGGGAGAGGAAAAUUUGGGACAUCAUCUGGAAGGCCAAGGUUCCUCAAAAGAUACGUAUUUUUGCUUGGCGGGCCGCUACCAAUAGUUUGGCUGUCCAAGUAAACAGAGUGGCACACCACCAAGAGACUCUCAGUACGUGCUCGAUAUGUGGAGUGGAGGACGAGAAUACGUUUCAUGCGCUUGUUAUGUGCCCCAAGGCUCGUGCGUUGCACAUGGCCAUGAGAGAUACUUGGGAGUUACCGUCGGAGAAUGCAUUCAGGUAUACUGGGUCGGAUUGGUUUCUUGUGCUCCUAAGUCAAGUGGGUCAGUCUAUGAGGGACAAAAUUAUUUUCAUUUUCUGGAGAGCCUGGCACUUGAGAAAUGACUUGAUUUUUGGCAAGGGCACGGAGUCAGUCACAAAUUCAACCAAUUUUAUUUAUAAUUAUUGGCCAUCCUUUGGCGCAAGUCAUUCAAGGCCAUUGGAGGAUUCAUAG
rnacentral:rRNA from 1 species